rnacentral:rRNA from 1 species
CCCCUAGAUGUUCAGGGCCGCACGCGCGCUACACUGAACAGUUCAACAAGUCUUAACCUUGGCCGAUAGGUCUGGGUAAUCUUUGAACGCUGUUCGUGAUUGGGAUAGACCUUUGCAAUUAUGGGUCUUCAACGAGGAAUUCCUAGUAAACGCAAGUCAUCAGCUUGCAUUGAUUACGUCCCUGCCCUUUGUACACACCGCCCGUCGCACCUACCGAUUGAAUGGUCCGGUGAAAUCUCGGGACGGCGGCUUGGUCGCUUGCGUCCGACUGCUGAAACUUGAUUAAACCAUAUCAUUUAGAGGAAGGUGAAGUCGUAACA